GGAAAUGAACGUGAAGGGAGGCACCAUUGCUCUGGAGAGCGGAAGAGAUUGCCGGAGAGGGGAGCUUCGAAUUUGGAAGGAAAAUAAAAGUGUCUGAUGGAGAAAGACUAAGUAGGGUUUGAGUAAGGAAAAAAACAAAUGAACAAACCAACAAAACAGAGCUCAUCGUCCUUUAAUGGGAAGAAUAUAGCCUUACUGAAUAAGAUCAGAAACCUGCAAAAGAACAGGAUGAGACAAAAGCACAGAAGCAUUUGGUGACUAAAAAACAACAGGAUGCCAGGCAAAGCUAGUGAGCAGAGACAAGACAGAGCAGGCUGAGAUAAGGACCACUUCCAAGUAAAUUAAAUGUCCAAUAACAACAUCAAGAUCUUCUUGGGACGACUAAAUGGAACCACCAACAUUACAAAGACAAAACAAAACAAAACAAAACCCCCAAAUCAAUAGUAAGGAAAAUGCAGCAGACGCUGUUGUGAAAACAGCUACAGCAUGACACCAGGUUGUCUGCAAACAGAAGCCACCUUUCUUUCGGGUAGCCACACCUCUGAGAAGUAGCCUGACCCCCGUCUGAGGAAAAAUCUCUGUUAAUGAUAAUCUCAUUCUGUUCACCGUGAUUGGCUUAGAGGAGGACACGUGACUUAGUUAAAUGCGAUGAGACCUGCAGGCAGGUCGGCUGGGGGCUCCGUAGAGGAGUUUGCUCAGGAAGAUGACCGCACCCGGAAGACAGCUCUUCUUCUAGAAGGUAAGUCUGUCUUACUAGUGGGAGGGGAACUAAUUUGAAAGCAGGCCCCCGCACUGCGCUUGGCAGGCUUCUGCUGGUUGGAUUUAAAAGAAUUCUGGUAUGGAGGACAAACAGGAAGCUCACGCCUUGUGAAAUAAAGAAAGAACAAACCAGGGGCACCUGGGUAGCUCAGUCGGUUAAACAUCCAACUUUGGCUCAGGUCAUGAUCUCACGGCUCGUGAGUUCAAGCCCCGUGUCGGGCUCUGUGCUGACAGCUCAGAGCCUGGAACCUGCUUCGGAUUCUGUGUCUCCCUCUCUCUCUGCCCCUCCCCUGCUUGCACUCUGUCUCUCUUUCAAAAAUAAAUAAACACUUAAAAAAUUUUUAAAAAGAACAAACCAAAUAAGUAUACUCCUUUAAAAUUUUACUUGAUAGUGUCCCUAAUAACCUGAAAAGUUAAUCAAGAGUAAGAAUUAAAAAUGAAAGGUGGGGCGCUGGGGUGGCUCAGUAUGUUAAGCUUCCGACUUUGGCUCUGGUCAUGAUCUCACAGUUCGUGGGUUCAAGCCUGGUAUAGGGCUCUGUGUUGACAGCUCAGAGCCUGGAGCCUGCUUUGGAUUUUCUGUGUCUCUUCUCUCUCUCUCUCUCUCUCUCUCUCUCUGCCCCUCCCCUGCCCAUGCUCUGUCUCUCUCUCUCUCUCAAAAAUGAAUAAACUUAAAAAAAAAUUAAAAAUCAGAGUUAGCAGAAGGCUGAGGGUGAACACAGAAAACAAAAUGUAAGCAUAAAAAUUGGUUUUAAAUGAUUGUGGUAAAUAAUAUGGUUCAAACACAUCAGGGGAGCUAUAUAGUUGAAUUAAAAUCAAUGUACUUAUAACUAAUUAAAUGAAAGAUUUACUUUAAUAAAUAGUAAUCCAAGUUCUAAAUGACAUAACUACAGACUGGGAAGUUAAGGAGCACUGGGAAUAAGCAUGGUUUGCUAAAUUCCUUGCUUAUGAAGGAAAAGUCAAAACACUUUUUGCAUACAUUUUCCAUCCUAGAAAUACAUAUCGAAGAAUAUUUCAUAAAAUAUUAAAGAUUGCCGCUAACAUAAGACCCUCUUAUAAUCUGAGUGUUACAGUAGGAGGAAAAGGUACAGACAGAUUAAAAUCUUCCCUCAGGGGCAUCUAGGGGGCUCAGUCGGUUAAGCGUCCGACUUCGGCUCAGGUCACCAUCUCACAGUUUGUGAGUUCGAGCCCCGCAUCAGGCUCUGUGCUGACAGUUCGGAGCCUGGAGCCUGCUUCGGAUUCUGUGUCUCCCUCUUUCUCUCUGCCCCUCCCCUGCUCAUGCUCUGUCUCUCUCUCUAAGAUAAACAUUAAAAAAAAUUGUUUUAAAUUAAAAAUAAAUGAAUAAAAUCUUCCCUCAGAAGAAAGGAUAAAUGAAUGUGCCAUUCCUCUCAAGAUGGGCAAGACCCCUCUUUGCCUAUUGUCCCUUUCACUGAAUUAUUAUCUGUGAAACCCUUGAAUGUGUGCCAAAUAUUUCUUGCUGUGCCCUACUAAUAAAACCAGUUAUCACUUUUUCUGUGCCCUUAAAACACUAAAUUUUCACUUCUUAAAAAAUUAUUUAUUGGGGCGCCUGGGUGGCGCAGUCGGUUAAGCGUCCGACUUCAGCUCAGGUCACGAUCUCGCGGUCCGGGAGUUCGAGCCCCGCGUCGGGCUCUGGGCUGAUGGCUCAGAGCCUGGAGCCUGUUUCCGAUUCUGUGUCUCCCUCUCUCUCUGUCCCAAAAUAAAUAAACGUUGAAAAAAAAAUUAAAAAAAAAUUAUUUAUUUACUUAUUUUGAGAGAGAGAGAGUGAGAGAGGCAGAGAGAAUCCUAAGCAGGCUCCCCACUAUCAGCCUGGUGCAGGGCUCAAACUCACAAACCAUGAGACCAUGACCUGAGCAGAAAUGAAGAGCCAGAUGCUUAACUGACUGAGCCACCCAGGUGCCCCCAAAUCUGCACUUUUAAAAAUUUUACACCAGGCAUUUAAGGGGAACAGAUCAUGGUGAUUUAUCUUUAGUUUUCAGAAGUUGAAUUUGGAUGUGUCUUUAUGUGGAUAUCUUUGAGUUUAUCUAUUUGCAAUUCUCAUAGCUUCUCGAAUGUGUGUGUUUACAUUUUUCACCAAAUUUAGCACAUUUCCAGACAUUAUUGCUUCAAAUUAUUCUUCAGCCUCACUUCCUCCCCCCUUUCUGGGCUUCCAACAAUAAACACUUUGGUACCUGUUCCACAUAACCACUAGAACGUUCUUUUCUUUGCAAUCUGUUUUCUCUCUUCUGUUCAGCUUGGAUACAUUCUAUUGAUCUUUCUGAAGACUUUAUUUUUUUUUAAAGAGAGAUGCGAGGAAAUCUUACUAAAAAUAUACUUCCUAGGUCUUGCCCUAAAAAUUAGUAACAUACUUUUCUUCCCCGAGCUCUUCAUGUAACUAGGUCCUCCUUAUUUUUCUGAUCCAGACUUAACCAUCACUUUUGCAGGGAGUUGUGCCAAGUUUACUUCUAUUGUGUUUUUUUGCACAAUCCAUAAUUAUGUUGCUUAUACAUUUUAGUGGCUUCAUUUGCUGCAUCCUCUCCUACAAAGCCAGUUCUGAAAUGUCAAAGACCGUGUCUUGCUUGCUACUGGUUGGCACAGAGUGGGCACUCGGCAAAUACGAUUUUGAAUCAAAAGAGACCAGCUACCCCAUAUAUGCACAAAGAGAGACAACGGGCAUGCCCCCCGUAUUUUAGUGAGGGCGCUGAAGCUGGACCAAGAAAAAGAUGGCACAUGUACCCACCACCCGGAGAUUCUAAGAUGGGUAGCAGGUAGCUCCUAAAGGGGGAGCCCACCUGUGGCCCCUCUUGCCUCGGUGUGCCUAGAUGACUCAAUAAAAUAAAUUUAUAAAACAUUUAAAAAAUUUUUUUAAAAAGGGAGCACCUGGGUGGCUCAGUUGGUUAAGCUUUGGACUUCGGCUCAGGUCAUGAUCUCACCAUUUGUGGGUUUGGGCCCUGCAUCGGGCUCUGUGCUGACAGCUCAGAGCCUGGAACCUGCUUCAGAUUCUGUGUCUCCCUCUCUCUCUCUGCCCUCCCCUACUCAUGCGUGUGUGUGUGUGUGUGUGCGCGCACAUGCGCACUCUCUCUCUUUCUCUGUCUCUCUCUCUCAAAAAUAAAAAUAAACAUUAAAAAAAAACUUUUAAAGAAAUGUUCAGACGAAGCCUAGAAAUCUAUCUACUGGAUGAAGGCACCAUUAAACAAGGCUUAAACGAACCAGCUCUAGGCAAGGAAGUACCACUGGUUAGGAUCACAGCUUGGGAGAAUGCUGGAUCUCAGCCUUGUCUCAGUUCCACCCCGCAGCAGUGGCAUGAACUCCAGUCAGAUACUGGACAUCGCUGGUCCCAAUUACUGUUUCAGAAUAUAGAAAUAAUACCAUGGCACCUCAUAAGGUCUCUGAGGAUUAAAUGAAUACUUCAGGUGUAGGCAUAAAACAACGUCCGGUACCACAGUCCCACUCAUCGAAAAUUAGUUGUUGUUCAUUUAGACCUGGGCUGAAUGAUCUUAUCCCAGAAAACAAGGCGGCUUGGGUUUAUGAAAGUUAAAUAGGCUAAAACAGAGUCGAGACCAGCAUACACAUUCCUAACCGAGCCCUUAUCUAGUAUCCUUCACCAUGCACUACAUGCCUUUAAUUUAGUCUUUGUUCUGUAAUGUGCUACUCUUCACUCACAGCAAACUAUGCAAAGUGUAGGGUCCAGAAGACACCCUGGGUUUUCCCCAAGGCACAGAGGUUGGCAUACAAGCUCAAACAAGGGUUCUGCACACUGAGAAACUCAGAGAGCCUACCUUCUAGGCGGGUUGAACCGAUGGACCAAUGGCCAGCAUAGAAAAUGCCUCAUAGAAAAUGAGAAAUUUACUCAUAGAAAAUGCCUUUUGUUCCUCCAAAGUUCCAUAGAAUUUUUUUUUCAUAGAAUUUAAAAAAGCAAGGCGGUGGGGGAAAGGCAAGUACAAAGGCCAGGAGGCACCAGUGAGUGGAGGCGACUGUGUUUUAUUAAUCCAUGCGAUUAAUCCAGCAUGCUAAGGAAGACUCUUUACAGAAUCAAAAUUUGUGUGAUUUUGAUCCACACAGAUUAGAAAACACUGUUGCAUUCACUUGCCAGUGCCUCCUUUGCUUUGUGCUUGAGUUGUAUUCUUCAGAGGCCGGUAGGAACAAAGGAGAGAGAGCAUUUAUAUGAGGACUAGCAGCACAGGCACUUUGACAAAUGUCCUUCUCCCCCUCCCUUUCUGCAAAACACUUCCUGAAUUUCCCAAGAACUAAUCCCUGGAUUUGUAUUUGCACCGUUUCCUCUCAAAAGCCAAAUGACUGGAAAUUGCCCCCAAAUGCAGAUUUCUGUCAACCCAUGAAAAGUGGUUUUCACCAAGGGAUGGGUGGAUGGCAAGUCUCACCCCAAGCUCUUUGCAAGAAAGUGGUGAGAACCGUACAUUUAAGGUUCCAGUGGGAGCCACCAUUUCCUCAUGAGGGCAAGUGACCUGAAAGAGUCUUGUCAGAAUCGGAGAGUUUUCUCACAAGUUUUAGUAGGAGAGGAAUGAGAGCCUCUGGAUAUGACAAAGAAAGAGCAAGAGAGCUUCAGGGACACAGACCCUGCAAGACCCAAUCAGCUUCAUCCGCCCUUAGUCGGCUAUAAUGUGAUUCUGAGAACUGGCAGGAGAUAUGUCUCCUUAUUUUGAAGCCAUUUCCUCUCUUAUGGGAAGAGCAGAAAUGAGUCUUCCCCAGGAAGCCUCUGUGGUCUCCAACACAGGGGUCCCCAAACUUGGUGAGACUUUUCCAGACAAUGAAUUGUGCUGAGGCUGAUAUCAGUGCCAACAGAAUAGUGGAGCAGGGUAGCGAUCACAGAAACCUUCCCAAAGCACACUUACGGAUGUGGGAAGUGCUACCCUCUCAGUUCUGAAAAGAGAAUGGUGGCUUCCCAGUGAAACUGGGUGAGUGUAGGAAAGUAAGAUCCCAGCUUGUUCCCCCCAUCCCAACCCCCAUCUUCCCAUGGUUCCCUUUCUCUACUGCAAAGACUGAGGCCAGCAGCAGACCUCCCAGGUGACAUGUUGAGAUCACCUGGUGACUAUCAAUCAACGUACCUCAUAGAAAAAAAAAAAAAAAACAACAGAAAGUUUAUGAGACUUCUGAUUAGAAAUAAUUUUACACUCUCCUUAUUUUUCUCAGGCCUCUCUCCCCAGUACCCAGCACAGUUGUUGACAGAGCAUUCAAUAAAUGUUUGUUGAAUUGUAUCAUAGAUCUUAUUACCAGUCAGCUACCUUGUCUUUGGUAAAUUCCUAACCAUCCCAUUAAAUUAUAAGCUCUUCAAUGACAACCAUCCUAAUGGAUUUAUCCAUGUGUCCCCCAAUAUCUAGCAGAAAACCCAGAACACGGUAGGUUUUUAGUAGGUGGAGGAUCGAAUCUGUGGUCUGUGACAUAAUCUGCUUAUGUAUAGUCUUGUUGUAUGGGUCUCAGGACCACAAUUUGUGUUUGUUGGUGCACACAUACAUGAACGCACUCUCGUCUGCAUUUAUUACUAUAUUGGCAUGCAUGUCUGGCUCUGAAAGGAGCAGCACCAAGGAAAAUGAGAAGUGGGAAGCCAUAAACUUUGGCUGGUCAUCGACCCUCCCAUCUGAAAAAUUUUUUAAAAAUCACUUCUAGAACAUUUUGCUGACUGACCAUCUGAAUUCCCACUGGUUGACUGACAACAUUUCAAAAUGGAGAACAGAUCACCAAGUCUCCUCCUCCUCCUGCUUUAUAGCAGAGAAGACUGAUCCAGAGAGUUUAGGAAGCUUGUGCAAGGUCACACAGCCAACGAUGGAGCCAAGCCUGGAUCACCAGAAGUCUCAUUUCCUCUUUGAGCCUCAAGUCUCAGCAGCCUACUUUGAGCUCUAUGACUCUGGGAAAACUAUUCUUGCCAGUGUUCCCAACACAUCUAGUUAUUAGAUCAAAUAAACAUUCUUAGUGUGUUUCUUACUCGUCUUUCCUUAGUAUUUGAUGACAGUUUCUCACUCCUUGUUGAAACCCAUUGCCUCCUUUAAGUGUCAUAACAAUAAUGCUAAUGAUUACUGGGUAUGUACUAUGGGCCAGGCACUGUUCCAAAAACUCUAACUAUAUUGUGAUAUUUAUCCCACACAAUAAACCUUAGGAAUAAACCUUAGGAGUUAAAUAUAUUAGUAUUCCCCCAUUUUAACUUAGGAAAGUUAAAGAAAAGAGAGGUUAAGAAACUUGCCCAACAUUACACAGCUAGUCAUUGGUUACUCUGGAAUUCAAACACAAAAAUCUAAAUAUCGAUUGGGUACUUCAAAUCGCCAUGCCUCUUGUUGGCUUCUGCUUCUUCCUCACCAUUCUAGAUCUUGCCUUCUCAAUUCCCCUCCCGUGCAUACUCCUUAAAUACUAUUUCUUUGAGUUCUGAUCUCAGCCCCCAGAUUUUCUUCCCUUUCUUAAUCAGGUCAUCUGCUCCCAAGACUUCCUUACAACCUUCUCAGGACUUCACAUAUUUUCCUCGAGUUCAGAGCUUUAUUCUAAGUGACAAACAAAUAAAACAUCUAUAAAUAUGCCCAUUUGAAUGUGUCUGUUCAGUUCCAUUAGAUAGAACGGUCUCCUUCGCUAACUUCUGCUCAGCUGAUAAGAAAAUAGGUUUAGCUUCCUUUUUCUCUUCAUGCCACUUGGGUUUGGUUCAUUUAGAGCAAAAAUAGCACUCUAAUUCCUUCUUGUUAUUUAAGUAAAUGUGCAUUUGUUGCUUUUAACCAAAAGGUUAGGUGUGUUACAAGAGGAACAUUCCAUCUGUCUGCUGAAGGGAAGAUCCUGGUUGCUUAGUAGGCCAGUUGGGACUCCAAAAACUCCUUCUUUGACCAUUGCCACCAUCCUGGGCCUGGCAUCUGACAUUGCGAUCAUAGCCCAGAAAGGAAAGUCCAAGGCUAAUGUUCUAUUGGUAACGUUAGCUGGAGUGACAACCUCAAGUUUUGCAUCAUCCAGGAAGGUAGGCUGAACUCAUUCAUGGAAAGAUGGAAGAGUUUCCUUCAGUAAGAGAGACAAGCCUCAAUGUACAAGUACUUUUCAACAUUCUAUUUAUGUCAUGUUUUCUAAGGUUCCAAUGGCCAGAAUAAGUCAUUUGGCCAAGCACAGACUCAAGGAGUGGGGAAAUGAGUUUUACCUCUUGAUAGGAGGAUUGAAAAAAAAAAACAUUUUAAAGAGGCAUACUUUUGGGGGUGCAAUGAAUUAUUGUAGCCAUUUUUGUAAUUUUGUGGAUUGUCCUUAGUCCACAAGAAUAGAAACUUGAAAGAUCCAGGGAUGUGAGAUUACUGGGGUUAUUCAAGGAACAGUGCGUUGAGAGGCAAAAUCUGGGAGAAGCCAUUUCAAGGGUGGAUGUGAUUGAUCUAGACUAAUCAAGAUGGCAAUCUCCAAAAUCUCCCAAACUUUGUGACUCUCUUUGUGUCUAUGAGGGAAAUAAGAUCUUAUUCUACUCUUUACUCUCCUCCCUAAAAUGAAUCCUCACUAAUUCUCCAACCAGGUAAGUGACAGUACCAUCAUCCAGUUGGUUCAAACCAAAGAAAUAAGAAUCACUCUGGAUCCCCUUAUCCUCAUAUCCUAACCAUCAGCAGGAUUAUUGGUUUUAUCCAUCUACAACUUAUUUCUAACUCCCGCCCACCUGCUCCCAUCUUACUGCCAUAGUGGCCAUCUGGUUCCCCUUCAUCUUUCACUUGGACUUUUACUGUAGUCUCCUAAUUGGUCUCCCUGCUUUCGCACUUGUUCCCUUUAUAGUUAAUUACCCAAAUGACAACACUGAGAUCAUUUAAAAAAGGAAAUCAGAAGAUGGUACAGCUCCACCCAAAAUCUUCAAUGGCCUCCCAUUACAUUUAGGAUAAUGUCCAAAUCUCCUCACUGCGACCUAAAAAGCUCUUCACAAUCUGCACUUUGCUUGCCUCUUAAUCUCAGUUUAUGCAACUCUCUUCUUUAUUAACUAUAUUCUAGCCACAAUGGUCUCUUUUUCUUUUUCCCCCCCCCCGAACACAUGAAAUAUACAAAUAGUGGGCAGAAUGUAAACUCUUCAUAGACAGCUUUCCUGACCUCCAUAUUUUAAAUACCCCCAGCCCUCUGCCGUGCCGGUUAUUCUUAUCCAUUAAUCCAUUUUUUUCUUAUCUUUUUCUUAUUUUUUUACAUUUUUGGUAUACAAGCUUUUUUCAUGUGGGUUUUACUGAGGCAUGAUUUAUAUAGAGGAGACCUCAUUCUUUUUAGUGUCCAGCUGUAUGAGUUUCAUCAAACACAUACAAAUUUGUAACCAUUUUCACAGUUAUGCAUAUGGCAUUCUGGAAAAGGCAAAACUAUAGGAACGUUAAAUAAAUCAGUGGUUGUCUCAGACUGGGGUAGAGGAGAAGCUGAUUGUGAAGAGGCAUGAGGCAACUCACCCAUCUUGCUUAUUUGUUUACUUGGUAAUUUCUGCCUUUCUCAAAAGACGCAUCCUAACAGGACAGAAACCUUGUAUGUCUCCAGAAGCUAGCAUGGGGCCAGUCACCAAAUAGGUGCUCAAUCUUCCUUUGUCGAAAGGCUUAAUGAAUAUAUAACCCUCCCCAAUUUGGCCCUCUCCCUCAGUCUCCAUCUGUAAUCCAUGGUCACGUCCUAUGGAUGUUACCUCUUAAAUGUCUCUCUUGGUCACUCCCUUUCCUCUAACUCCCCUGCUGUGUUUCUGCUCUCCUUGUUCCUCACUUAGAUGAUUGUAAUCGCCUCAAAAAUGGUUUUCCUGGCUGCAAGCUCGCCCCCUCAAUCACUGCCUAUGGCUGCUGCUAGGUACAAUUGAAUGACGUCACUCCUUCCUUUAAGAAAGAAAAAAGAAAUGCUUCCCCAUUGCCUUGCAACCGAACCAAACUAGCUCGACUCUCCUCUGCUCCCAGGUGCCUAACACUAACUGCCCUCCUUGCUACUUAUAGGGCUCUGCUCCUAUCUAGAUAUGGUUCCCAGGACCAAAGGCUGCUGCUCAUCUGUGCUGUUUAUAGCCAAGUAAGCCCCUCAUCUCUGCAGAGUCCCUGCUGUCUUCAUAUACCCCUCAAGGGGGUGCCCCUUCAAUCCCGGCAUGCCUGAAGACUUCAUGUCCCCAAAUUUAAGACAAAUAUCAACAUGGCAAGGAAUUUAGAGCUUUCAGAGCAAGCCAUGUAAUUGUUAGCCAUGAUGUUUCUCAAAGGUAAGGUUGCCCAUCAAAACCAUCAAAUUCUAGUAUACCGACUCUUGAAGCCACACACUUUUCAGAGACCAGUAGUGGCAAUUAUUUUCCAUCCUUUCAUUGUAUUUUGAAAAUAAAUAGGAGGUUGGAAUUGAAUUACAUCAGUUGGCUGGCACUAAGCCCAAAUUACUCUCUAUAAAACUAACGAAAGUGGACUGGGUCAAAAAUCUAAAUAAUUUUUAUUUUAUUUUAUAUUUUAUUUUUUUAUAAAUUUUAAUACAUGCCAUCAAGGCUCCAAAAUAUGAAAUCCUAAUUAUUUCAUUGGGAUUGGGGAAUUGGGGAGGGGAGAGGAUGAGGGGGAAUCACCAGGGUCCAUCAAGGAGACUGGCUAAAUUAAGGUAUAUUCUUCAAAUAUGUUACUCUGAAAUUGUAAGAAAAAGAAGAAGUAAACUCUCAGUGCACUGCUAUGUAUAGAGCCCCCAAAUUAUUAUGUUAAGUGAAGACAGCAAAGUCCAGACUGCUGCAGCUUACCUGCACGCUUCUAUUUGCUCAUAUACACACGUUUAUUUGUGUAGAGAAAACGUGGAAGGAUUCCCAAGAAACCAGGAAAAGUGGCUUCCUGUGGGGGAAGGGGAAUGAGGCAGACUGCAGCAAAGGGGAACAAUACCUCUUUAUAUUUGGGGUUUUGAACCAGGUGAAUAUAUGUCUGCCUUCCACUCAGUUUCCUAACGUGUUGUUAAAAAAAAAAAAAAAAGAGUUUGAGUGGGCAUCACAGUGUGAUUCUCAACAGAUCUCAUUCAAAUUGCAUUACUCCAGGUCUUUGAAACUAUCGUUAAAUAAACAAAACCUUUCAAAUAAUCCUGGUAUCUACACAUAAGCAACAGACUUGUUGCUAUAUAAAUACAAGUAAAUAAAUAAAUACAUUCUAAAAUGAUACAUUGUCCAAAUGAGAGUGUAACAAUUAUCAGCCUUAUCAAUUGCCCUAAAAACUUAUUUUCUCUUAGGUAGGAAACUGGACAUGUAAAUUCAUUUAUCUUUUCAGGUCAGCGAAAUAGUCCAAAGUUGUCAUAAUACUUUAGGUGGCCGCCUUGUAUAGAAUAUAAUUAAUGCAUGUAUGUAUCAUUUUGGCUUGACACAAAAUGUCAAAGUAAAAUGUCCUGUAUCAAUUUAUUUGGGGAAACUAUGCCUCCCACUGUCCUCUCCACCCACCCACCCCUCACACACACAUGUAUUUUGUGUAAUUAAUGCAGCCGUCAAGGUUAAAUGCCAAAGUACCAAAAGUUGACCGGUGUGCUCUAUUCGCCCACAAACCUGAUUGCUCCAGAAAUGAACAUGAGACUCAAGUCUGGCCAAGCAGAAUCCCUGGGUGGGAGGUGAGGAUUGUUAAAGAUGCAGAGCAAAAGAAGGUUUCUCUGCUUUUCAAAUUAGAAGUUCUAAGGAUUUUAUAAGCCUGUGGCUGCCAGGACCCAUUAUUGCUAUCCAUUCUGAAAAUAAACCCAAAGUGAGAAUUAUAUCAAAUGGAGAUUUAAAAAAGAAAGAAAGAAAGAAAGAAAAUUGUGAUAAUAUCAGUGAAGAGUGGAGCCAGCCAUGCUUUGAGCCAGUCCGUCCCGUGGAUUUACCAACUUCAUAAGCCAAUGAAUUCUUCAUUGUUGCUAUUUGAAACAUAUUUCAAAUGCUCCUCAACAAAGUCUUUAUGCUUUUAUUUGUACAUAUUCUAGAGUUUCUAAAGAAACUCUGGUCUUUCUUGGGAUUGUUUCUUAAUUUACCUGAAAAUGCAGAAAACAACAAAUUCUUCAUGUGAUCAGAGAAUCUGAAGGAAGGUAAGCAAGUUCUCUCAUGAGAAGUGCUGGGCUAUAAGGUAGAGGGGAAAUAUACAAAAUAAAAUUAGGUCUCUGGUUCCUAAAAUAAUCCAUGCCAUCUGCCAUUCUUACUUCCAUAAGUAAGUGAUAUUUUAAUUUUUUUUUUGCUUCUUUAUCCUUUAAAUAAGAUGAUCCUGAAAGCAAUGAACUUCCAUUACCUAUACAUGCACAUCCUUCCCAUAUAUUAUAUUCAUGCAGCUAAUUAAGUUACUUAUCUGUCCAUUCAACGUAUUUUUACUGAGUUAUACUACAUACUAGACAUUAUUCUAGAAACUGGUAAUAGAUGAAGUCUCUGUCCUCAUAAAAGUGACAUUCUAGUGGAGAUGACAUAAAAAUAAAUAAAUACAUGUAUAAUAUAUCUGAUGGCAAUUGUUUUAUUGCUAAGAAGAAAAGCAAGACAAGGUAAGGGGGAUGGAAAAAUGUUAAGGAUAGUGUACUAAUUUAUAUACAGAAAUAAGAGAUGCUUUCUUGGACAAGGGGGCUUUAAAGCAAAGAUUCGAAAGCAGAGACGGGGUAGCCAUGUGAUUUCUUGAUGGGGGUAAUUCCAACUACAGUCACAGGGCACAGGGAGACACAGGCCAUAGGGAAGGAAAACAGAAGAUUGAAGCAAAAGGAGGUUUCAGGUUGGGCUUUGCCUUCUUGAAAUAAUAUUAUAAAAAAUAAAAAUGGAAAAUAAAGAAGAGAAAGGUAUCAGAUAAUUAACAUGAAUCAGGUCAUAAAUUAGGACAAUCUGAUUCAAUUUUAAAUAAAACAAUUCAGCAAACAUGUAGUCAGUUCUAACUUCCUAUUAAUGUUUGUGUGUGAGAUAGGUUGCUUGGAUAUGAUUGGGUAUUAUUGUUUGGAUGCUGUAUGUUUAAGGUGGUGUUAACCCAGUGGAUCUAUGAGUCCAAACCACUCUUGCAUGAGGAAUAGGAUCUUACCUGAAAGGUGAAGUUUUCACCUCACACCCAUACUCCCCCAGCCCAUCCAUUCCCUGAGGAAAAGGCUUGUAUUGCAAGCCAGAACCUUUACACAGAGAAGGAGGAUCUUAGGAACUCUUCCUUGGCCAUGACGACAAACCAAGGAGCAGGGCAGACCUGCAGGGAUGAAACUUAAGAGGACACAUAAUCUGUUAAAAGGUGGGAAGAGGGCCAGGAACUGAGUACCCCAGGCCAGCUGCCCCAGCAACAGGGUGUGAGAGAUUAACUGAGGCAAGCUCAGAAACCUGUAGCUUAUAAAUUUCCUCCACUGCCAGCAUUUUUUCUAGCAGUAUUUGUUCCAUCUUAAGUCAAGUCUUUCUGAAAAUCAUCUUAGAUGAGCUAAGGGAAAUGAAAGGGAAGGGCUUUCUACAGUUGUAGAGAGGCAGGGGUAGCUCAGGGGUGAAGUAAGAAACCUCGAGAGAACGUGAAAUGAGAAGGAACUUUUCAUAGCUGGGUGAGUACUGCUGAUUACCUGAGAGCACCUCUCCGUGGACAAACCUUGGAGCUAAACGUUCAGAGCGGGGACUGCCAAACAGUGAAGGUCCAUAUGGAAACCUCACCUCCACUCCUCUCCACCCAGGGGAGCUGGGACAACUCACCCUCCCCACUCCUCCAUUUCUACCUUUGCAAAAUGGGCCUAAUAUUACCUCACAAACACCAUCGUCCAUGUUUUGCUGAUGAAAAAUGAACUUGCCAAGUCUGUGUAAGUAGUCAGCGUUAAAGACAGCAUCAAAUCUACUCUUUCCCACUCCCCAGCCCGUGUUCUUAACCCCGCACCCCAUUGCUUCCCCAUCUUAUUGGCACAACCAGCAGUUUAGACAGCCAAACCAGAACCUAGAAGGUCACUGUGGCCUCCCCCAACUUUCUUGACCCGUAGAUCCACUCAUAACUGAAUCCUGUCAGCCUCAUCACUUCUCGGCCUUUUGGCUAAGAUCAAGCGUGAAUCCUAUCAGCCUUACACUCUCAGUAUCCUUCAGACCCAUUCCCCCCUACAGUCCUGUCUUAGCUUCUCCACCCAUUUCCUGCCUGUGGUUCACCUCACUGGGAUUCCCUUUACACCUUCUCUUUCUACAACCCAACAUAAUAAAUACAAUAAUAAACAAAGCACUCACCUUCUUAACUGUUCAAUGGUUUGCCAUCAACUAACUGAUGAUCAACUAACUUUAGUAUGCAUAAAUAUCACCUGGAGAACAUGUUAAUGCAGAUUUUGAUUGGGGUGCCUGGGUGGCUCAGUCGGUUAAGCCUCUGACUCUUGAUCUUAGCUCAGGUCAUGAUCACACAGUUUGUGAGAUCAAGCCCUGCGUCAGGCUCUGUGCUGACAGCUCAAAAUCUGCUUGGGAUUCUCUUUCUCCCUCUCUCUCUGUCUCUGUCUCUGUCUCUCUCUCUCUCUCUCAAAAUAAAUAAACUUAAAAGUAAAUAAGGUGCAGAUUUUGAUUCAAAAAGUUGAGAAGGGGGCCCAGGAAUGUACAUGGCUAACAGGUGUCACACAGGCGAUUGGUACAAUAAUAUGUGGAUUCUUCUUACUCAGAGUCUGUCCAUGGACCAGCAUUAUUAACAUCAUCUGGGAGCUUGUUAGAAAUGGAGACUCUGUGGCCUGGCCUUAGAAUCAGAAUCAGAAUUUUAACAAAGUUCCCAGCUGAUUUGUAUGCAUGUUUUUUUUUUAAUGUUUUAUUUUGUUUAUUUUUGAGAGAGAGAGAAGGAGACAGAGGGGGAGGUGCAGAGAGAGAGGAGGAAAGAGGAUCCGAAGUGAGCGCCACGCUGACAGCAGGGAGCCCAAUGUGGGGCUUGAACCCACGAACCUUGAGAUCACGAUCUGAGCUGAAGUCAGACACUCAACUGACUAAGCCAUCUAGGCAGCCCUGAUUUGUAUGCAUAUUAAAGAAGUAGACUACACGUUGAUCUAAAGAAUCAAAUAUAAAAUCUUUUCCGUGGUGUGAGAGGCCAGUCAUGACCAGCAUUCUUGCUGUGAUCUAAGUUUGACACACUGGGGAAACUGAGGCACCAAAAGCAGCUGUCUUCUUCACCUUGGUCACCCCAGUGCAUAGCACACUCCCUGCGGCAAAAGACAUGCUGCUUUAUUGAUACACAUGGAGUCAAAGUGAACUACAUUAACGCAUAUUUUUAAACAGAUUUUGAAGUACAGUAUUACAGCCGUAUUAUAUCUUCGUCAAGGUCUGAUUUAGCUGGAGUGAAAAAGAAUGGAGGGAGCAAAGACGAUCAGUGUCACGAGCCAGAUACAUUUUAUUCCUUAAAACGCUGAACGUGUUGUCACUGGGCGGGGGAGGGGAGUACUCAGUUCCACCUCUGAAGUCCUUGCUGUUCGCAGUUGAUUUACUGCCUGAAGUCAAAUCCAUGCUCUAUAUAUUAAGGCACAGCCCCCACUUUUUUUGUGUUUUGUUUUGUUUAAGAAGAGCAAACUUUCCCCACAAAGAUACAAGAACAGUCAAUAUUGAUCUUCUUGACGGAUGGUGCACCUCACGCCACAGGCCUCUCGAGCAUCUGCUCAUUACCACCCAGCCCUCCCCUUUGUGGGGGAAUAAUGCCAAGUGGCCUCCUGUGCUAUCGGCCGCAGAUUGCAAAUAUUUAAAAGAAAUAAAUUUCUCUGAAUGAAAAGCACCUUUCAUUGUUCUCCAACCCCCUCUCCUCCCAAGUCAUGUUGAUUUUGGGGCAGUGCCUACUGCCAGCACCUGUACUGUUCAAUUGUUUGCUUGCCAACAUCACUGUGGUUUUCUUGCUUGGGCUUAGGAACCAUUCUAAGUACAGUAGCCAAUGACGGUGACUUUUCUUUCUCUCCUGGCAAAAUCUAUAGGGGAAGCAUCAACUUCAGGACACCUAGCAGCAACUGUAAUUAGAGACACGGGAAGAGAGGAACAGAAAUUGGGGCUUCUCUGUCUGAGUAUGUGUCCCCACAUGAUAAUGAAAAUGGACCACCGCUGCAGUCCGGAAAGAAAGGUUUGGAUUUCCUCAAUACCGUAGUAUUUGGCAGAGAGUGCUUAAACUUGAUUUUGGGAAAUCCAAAACCUUCCUUUAACUGAACGUGAAGACCCACAGUAAGAAAUAAGGAUGGGAUUUCAGCAAGAGGAAAUUCGAAUUGUGAUUGAAAAUAGCCACUUAGAAUAUUACCCCGGGGGUCUAAAUAUAAAUAUACAAUAAAAAGAUUAUUUCUUCUAUGUGAAGCAUUACCCACCAUUUGGUGAAGUAGGAUCAUACCCUGUGUGGUCUUAAUCACUGCUCUUAAUCUCUUCCCACUCAGCAUUAGAGUAAAAUGCACUGCAGCCAGUCACUGUGACUGGCAAACGUUGAUGAAAAACUGAGUGUAGGGACAGUCUACGUUUAAAACUUUAGCCCUUUCUCUAGCCCAAAGCUGACUUCUCACUCAAUGAGAGGGGUACACCCUCCAUUACCAUCACCCCUGGGGAAGGCAUUUGUUACUUUUCAGACUCUACAUACUUUUAUUCUACUUCUAGGAACAAGUAUUUAGGCAUCCAUGUGACUCCAAAUAUUUUUUUUAAGUUUAUUCAUUUAUUUUGAGAGACAAAGAGAGCAAGCGGAGCCAGAAAGAGAGGGAGAGAGAAACCCAGCCCAAUGCAGGGCUUGAACUCACAAACCAUGAGAUCAUGACCUGAGCCAAAACCAAGAAUGGGAUGCUGAACCGACUGAGCCACCUGACUGAGCCACCCAGGCACCCCUACGUGACUUCAAAUCUUGAUCCGUGUGGUUUACAUUGAGUGCUUCCCCCCAGACUUCAGGGAUAAAGCAAAUGCCCACAUCUGAUUACAAUAGCCCAUUACAUUUUGUUGGCUGCAGGGAUUGAAAUUCAGAACCAAUGGGAUAUCAUGAGGUUUUGUUGAGACUUCCAGCAUCAAGGUUUGACAGUGGGACACUACAGACUCCGGGGCCACCACCGCCACCUUACCAAUGAGGCAAGCACAUGUUGGCUUUGAAUUGCUUUUUGCAUAGGAUGGCUUGAGUUGGGUGAAGUGUACUCUCUUGACUGUUCUGCCUGGUGCCCAGGGACCUGUUUGUGAUAUGAGGAUUCUGUGGUCAUGGAAUGGUUUAUUUCACUCUUGGUAAAACUGAUCAAUUCUGAUAAAGAUAGUACUGAUACUGAUAAGGAUGAGGCCCACUUUGCCUUAGUUAACAUCAUUCUCCAAUUAGCUGGGCCCAAAAAUCCUAGGUCAUUUCCUUAGCCCCCAGAUGAAAAAGAUGACAUUUGCUACAAACCCUUACAACUAAAAUAAAGGGGUAUUUUUCUGUUGUCAAUAUAUGGACUGAACCACAGUGUAAGGAGCUAAAACCAGCCUCCCUAUGUGCAGUGAGGUAGGAAGAUCUACAUGGAAUUGCAUAACAAGUGUUUUGAAUUAUAUGAAAAACAUCAAGCCACUUUUAGUUUCUUGUAAGACCUUCACAAAUUACAGAAAUGUCCAGAGGAAACCUGAAAAUACCAUUGUAUAAAUUUAAAUUUAAAAUUAAAUUCAGAUUUACACAAAACAGAUUUGUAUGAAGAGUUAAAUAUUUUUAGAAAAAUUGUCUGCAAAAAUCAUCAACUCUAGGCAUACUAAAAUUUAUAUUUCAAAACAAUUUAUCAUAAAUGUGUCCCAAUGUUGUCACCAUCUCUAAAAAUACUCUUAACAGCUUGAGUAACAGUUGCAUAAGCAUAAAAAUUCUUCUGAAAAUUAAAAAUUAUAAAAACUUAUUUGCAAUUUUGGCUAUCCAUUGAUAUUUAAUAGUAAGGCACUACAAGCUAUCUGCAAACUCUAGAUUCGCUUGUUGAUUACCUGGCUUCACUGUUGCAUCACAAGCAGUGAGCUUGACUUUCCCAUGACAGAUCCCUCAAGGUCAGAAUGUGAAGGGCAUUUCUCUGGUUUCUCCACAGAAGAAUGCUCCAGGAAAUAUUUUUCUGGUUGAUCGAAUUCUGGGAAUAGACCAGGAAAAAGGGUCUGAAGGUCCCACAGACUACCACCUAAAAUUUCAAGAAACCCCUAUUUGGAGAGUCCACCUCAUCUCUGAGCCCACUGUCCCUGGGUUGAGAGCCACUCUGCCUUAAUUUUGCCAGAGAAUAAAUCCUUGUCUGACUCUGCAAGGGUGAGCAAAGGAAAAAUGGAGUUCUGGAUCCAGACUGCCACCAGCCUCUUGUUUUAAGCCCCUUGCUCCUUUCCUGCUUUAGACGCUAUGUGAAACCUUCAAGUCCCAGGUUUCUUGGUGGUAGAAUGAACUGAUUCACUUCUCCUUGUAGGACCCCCAUGUAGACUUGUGUUGGGAAUCACUCCAUUCUCUUAGGUCAGCGACCACAUUUUAGCCAACUUCACAGCUUUCAAAAGAAUUGUUCAAAUUGUUCACUUGAUGUUAUCUCCUCUCUUUGUUUUUCUUUCUGGUGAGUGAAUGCAUUUUGUUUAAAAGCAGUGGUUCCCAAUUAUUUUCAAAAUCACAUAAGACAAAAAGUAGAUGGCAUUUGUAGGGAACACUGGGGUAAAUGGAUAAGACUAUUCAAGGCCAAGGCCAACUGGUCUGACUUUACUUGCUAUCCCAGCCCUCAUAACACUAUCAAGAGGACUAAAUAGAUUAAUAUCUCUGCCCACCUGUGACCCAUUUGCAGCAUACCAUCUGAGAGGCUUUGUUCUGUUGCUAAUUCUGCGGCGUUUGGAGAGAGGGAGAGGAGAUAAGUAGAUGUGGUCAGUCUACCAUGUUUAACCAGCCACCCCUCACUGCUCAGUCUCCUACAUUAUCCAGGUUAGAUGGUAUUUUUCCCCCUGUGGUCAUCCAUUUCAUAGUCCUGGAGGAUCCAUCUAGCUUUUCCAAAUGGCAUCUUCCUGAUACUUCCUGCCAGGAGCACCAUAGGCACUUAUGAUUGCUAUCCCAGGAAGUAGUAAAAGUGAUGCUUCUUACCCCAAUACCUCCAUCUAAAGCAAAUACCUAGCUCCAUGAUAACUCUUAAAUCGCAGGAGCCUGAACUCCAGACAAAUCCAAUCCAGUCUAGUCCCUGGUAACUGGAGAAAGAGGGCAUCUAGCCCAGCCAAUGAAAUAGAACUGCAAUGAAGACAAAGGAAAUAAACCAAAAGAAACUAACAUACAUACCAUUUGGUGGGACAGUACAACAGAGUACUCAAGAUCAUCGGAUUUGGAAUUAAUGGUAUCUGUGUUGGAAUCCUGCCUCCACCAUUUACUGGAUAUGUGAUCCUAGGAAAAUUAUUCUAUCUUUCUCAAUAUCUUCAAUAUUGAGAUAUCUUCAAUAUCUUCCUCUGGAAAACAGAUGGAAAAGUAAUUCCUGCUGCCAUGAAUGUUUAGGUGAUGAAGCAACUACAAAGCACCCAUAGCACAGAGGUCAUGAAGGAAUGAGUGGGGAGAAAAUAUUAAUGAGGGGUUGAAAGGAAAAGCAUAAUAUUCACAAAGAAGAAAAGAUAGGGUCUUGGAAAAAAAUACCAUUAAACGGAGAAUGAAAGGGAUCAAGGCCACAGUCUACAAACACGCUGAUACUUAGGACCCCACCAGCCACAGAGAAGCAGGAUAUAGAGAGAUAUGCUAUGUAUAAAAUAGGACAUAUGUAUAUAUAUGUGUGGGGGAUGUGUAUGUGUGUAUACAUUUGUCAACAGCACUGAGGUCCUUCUAUGCAAUAGAAGUUCUAGGAAUUAGCUUCGAUGUUGUUUUCCAGGAAACUAACAAAGUCACCAUCUUCACUUAGUUACUGAUUAGCCCUUCAAAUAGGGUCAGGUAUCCUUGCCUUCUUUUUACAUGACCAUAAAUAAAAAUACAACCGAUCUCUCAUUUUAUCCUCAGAUGCCAGCCCACACACUAUUCUAUGUAGCACAAAGGGCCCAACGUGAAUAUUUAAAACUAAUACAUUGAGGGAUGUAUGUGUAUGUGUAUAAGGCCAGACCAUCACACACUUACAACUAUGUGCCCUAACUUGUCAAAAAAAAAACCUACUAAAGUGGAAGAAAAUAAAUAAAAGGUCAACACCUUGACAGCUAUGGGUACAUACAUUAUUAAGCCUAAAGGUGUCACGUCUCAAGGAAACGUAAACUGAAGUUCCUUUCAGGUUCUCCUUAGGGCUGGGGUUUUAGAUUGUACUCGGACAAAGGAAUCAUAAUUCAAUUAUCCAAAGAUUUAUUACAAAACACUUUGCCCACACUGGAUAUUUUGAUGUGUAAACAUCAGAGUAUUACACUCCCUGUAUCCCAGGCUUCACAUUUCAGAUUUCAUUAGCCAAUAAAGCCAGGUUUAUUUAUAAUAAAGUUAAGCCCUUCAAACCACUGACCAUGGAAACCAGAUUUUGAAAUAAUUCAGAUUUGUGUUUCUGUUCUUUCUAAUUAAGGGUAAUAUCGGGAAGCACAGACAGUGGGUAGCAUUGUUCGAGCACCAUGGAUUUAAGCAAGAAAAUCUGAUUAUCAGCUCAUGUCAGAAGCCAAGCGAUAAUGCAGCUUAGCAUUCGUUUGGGCUUUUUCUUUGGCCAAAAGAUAAUUACCGUUCGUGAGGCCUUACGUAAGUGUAUCUAAUAUCUAAGGCCCUAAAAUUUAUGAAUAGCAAAGACACACAAUAGGCAAAGAAGAAUUACUGUAUUUAUUAUUUCUAUGGCUUGUUCCACCAUGAUAAUUUCAUUAUCUAGCAAAGUCAAACCUCGAAAAUCAAAGUAUAAUUUCUUAAAGGACAAGAGUUAAAUACGCUGGCAAGGUUUUUGGCCCAAUUUCCUCUGGUGAAAGUUAUUUCUAACAAAUAAGAAGUAGACCAGCCAGAAUUCUAAUAGGAAGUUUACCAAAGGGGAUUCAGAGUUACCUAUUGAGGCCAUUGCACAAACAGAUGUUAAGCUUCUGCCGUGAGAUUUUUUUUUCUUUCGUAAGGUGUUAUUUCUUAAUCCUGUGCUGUUGAAAAUAAAUAUGAUGCUUCCUACCAAACAAUACCAAAAACCUGAAGACUGAAAAGCACUUCUUGGCAAAGCUGAUCGUGUCAGAGUGAGCAUUGCUGUAAUACAAGCAAGCAACCUGAGCAUAUAUCAUGCAGAAUAAAUUUGGGGAACUCAGAGGGAUAAAGUUAUUUGAAAUAGGGGUUAGAGGUUUGAUAUAUAAGCCCAUAUCUAAUGAAGAGGAUGAAAAGAAAAUCAAGUUGUGAAAUUUCGGAAAUUUCAAAAAUUUCUAAAUUUCUAAAAUUUCAGACAAGAAUGUUGAGAUCCUCCAAAACAUGAAGAGUCACCUGCUUUUUAGAAGAAAAAGCAUGCUUGUCCUUCUCUAUAGAUUUUUAUUUUUUUUAGGAGUAGCUUUUAUUAAUGAUCUACUACUCAUUAUAAACCAGUAGCAACAAACAUUUUAUUGAGUACCUGGUAUAGACCAGGCAUUGCUUUAAAUACUUUAGACAUAGGAAUUCAUCAAAUCCUUAUGGCAACCCGAUGAAGCCAAUACUUUCCUCUCCCCAUUUCACAGAGGAGGAAAAUGAAUCCCACAGAGGUGCAGUAACUGCCCAAAUGGCUCCCACUGUUCCAAACACACACACAUACAAAUAUAUCUAACAAAAUCUCAAUUUUAGUCAUCUUCAUAACUGGAUUUGGUUUUAGAUAUUAAACUUCUAAACUUUAGCUCAAAUAAUUUUUCCCCUGGGGCUUCCAGAAUUUAUUCUGUGUGAUUUAUACCCAGGCUACUUGUAUUACAGCAAUGCUCCCUCUGACACCAUCCUGAAGCCAAAGGUUCCUUAGGACUGGUCAGGGUAGUUCUGUGGGCUCAGGCCUUAACAAUGAGCGCUCCGACCUGGGGCAGAUCACUAAGCUCUCUGUUAAACAGAAGUCAAAUGGGAACAAUGGAAGUAGGAGAGGGGAUGAUAACAGAACUUGAUGGAAGGAGAGAAGUGUCAGUACCUGGGCCUGGUGGCCCUACAGCCUCCUGCUGCCAGACUCACAGAUCCACCAGUAAGGAAUCAUUGGUGCUUCAGGCUGGGUCCACCCUGUGGACUUCCUAUUUUCUAUGUUUGCUUUGAUCACUUUUUGAUUGAUUCCCCAUGCCUUAACUUUUCCUCUUGAAUUUUUCUUGUUUUUUUCUUUUUGCCUUACACUCUGGGAGAUAUUUUGCAACUUCUUCUUGCAGUCUUCUGUUAAACUACUUACUUUUAGCCGGCAUAUAUUUGAUUCCAUGAGCUCUUUCUACUUGCUCCGUGCUUCUUUUUCAAGGACAGAGCUGUUCUUAUUUUAUAGAUUUCCUCAGCAUUCCCCAGAAGGCGCUAAUUAGAUAUCUCCUAAAGUGAAAAGUUUCUUCUGGCUUCUGAAUUAUAUCAGUUUCUUCGAAUGUCAAUUUCUCUAUUGGGUCUUCUUGGUCCUUUUUGUGCCAUUGGCUUUCCUUAAAUUCUGGUAGUUCUUGGUAAAGGCAUACCUCACUUUAUAGCAUUUUGCUUUAUUGUGCUUCACAGAUAUUAUAUUUUUUACAAAUUGAAGUUUUGUGGAAACUCUGCAUACAACAAGUCUAUGGGCACCAUUUUUCCAACAGCAUUUGCUCACUUCCUGUGUUCGUGUCACAUUUUGGCAAUUCUCAUAAUAUUUCAAACUUUUUAAUUAUUCUUAUGUUUGUUAUAGUGAUCUGUGAUUGACGAUAACAACUCACUGAAAGCUCAGAUGAUGGUUAGCAUUUUGUAGCAAUAAGGUAUUAAUUAAGGUAUAAACAUGGGGUUUUUUUUAGACAUAAUGCUAUUGCACACUUAAUUCUGUAUAAUAACAGAAUUAUUAUACUAUAUAAUAGUAUAGUGUAAACAUAACUUUUAUAUGCACUGUAAACAAAAAAAUUCAUUUGACUUACUUUAUUCUGAUAUUCACUUUAUUGCAGUGGUCUCGGACUGAACCCUCAAUAUCUGCAAGGUAUGCCUGUAUUGUGAAUAAAAGCCUAGUUGAUGAAUUUCCUUUCUGUUUGUGCAAAUGUGCUUCUCUUAUUAGAGAAUUCGGGGUUUCUUCCCAUGACCAUGAGCUUGGUAGAGGCAGCCAAGACAUGUGAACCGACUGGCUUCACUUCUGGGUGGGNNNNNNNNNNNNNNNNNNNNNNNNNNNNNNNNNNNNNNNNNNNNNNNNNNNNNNNNNNNNNNNNNNNNNNNNNNNNNNNNNNNNNNNNNNNNNNNNNNNNNNNNNNNNNNNNNNNNNNNNNNNNNNNNNNNNNNNNNNNNNNNNNNNNNNNNNNNNNNNNNNNNNNNNNNNNNNNNNNNNNNNNNNNNNNNNNNNNNNNNNNNNNNNNNNNNNNNNNNNNNNNNNNNNNNNNNNNNNNNNNNNNNNNNNNNNNNNNNNNNNNNNNNNNNNNNNNNNNNNNNNNNNNNNNNNNNNNNNNNNNNNNNNNNNNNNGGGGCGCCUGGGUGGCGCAGUCGGUUAAGCGUCCGACUUCAGCCAGGUCAUGAUCUCGCGGUCCGGGAGUUCGAGCCCCGCGUCAGGCUCUGGGCUGAUGGCUCAGAGCCUGGAGCCUGUUUCCGAUUCUGUGUCUCCCUCUCUCUCUGCCCCUCCCCCGUUCAUGCUCUGUCUCUCUCUGUCCCAAAAAUAAAUAAACGUUGAAGACACCAGUUCUUAUAUGAAGAGUCCAGGUCCUCCCCCAUUAAACCUCUCAGGGUUUUUUUUUUUUUUUAGAAAAAAAUAUGCUUCAGUUUUAUACUGGAGAGAAGACUCUGCCUGAAAAAUCAGUCCUGCCUUCUCAUCACUCUCUACAGGUGCAGUGACCUACUUGAUGGAGGAGUUUGGAGGAAAGAA
rnacentral:lncRNA from 1 species